CAUUACAGUAUGUUAAGGGGGUUGUAGCUGGCUUUCGAGCAUGUGCACGCCUUCCUAUUCAUCCAUAUACACUUGUGCACACCGGUCGAAGCCCUCCAUACGGGAGCCGUCUUGUAUUUAGUUACGAGGCUGGGGUUUCGAACGCUUUAAAUAUACCAACGCCUGUCUAAACGCAUGUCUAAGUCUUACGGGACUAUAAAGUAAUACAACUUUCAACAACGGAUCUCUUGGCUUUCGCAUCGAUGAAGAACGCCGCGAAAGUGCGAAACGUAAUGUGAAUUGCAGAAUUCAGUGAAUCAUCGAAUCUUUGAACGCAUCUUGCGCCCCUUGGUAUUUCGAGGGGCAUGCCUGUUUGAGUGUCGUGAACCUCUCAACCCUUGCCUUUCAUUAGACUCGGGUUGGAUUUGGACGCCUGCCGCGGUUUACCCCGCGGCUCGUCUUGAAAUGCAUUAGCUUGGUCUGCCGCGAGUGGCAUUUGACGGUGUGAUAAGGAAACGAUUUACGCCGUUGUAAUGCUUGCAAAGGACUGCUUAGAGUCGUCUUCGGACAAUUUCACUUCGUAUGGCCUCAAAUCAGGUAGGACUACCC
rnacentral:rRNA from 1 species